rnacentral:rRNA from 1 species
CCUACCGAUUGAAUGGUCCGGUGAAGUGUUCGGAUCGCGGCGACGUGGGCGGUCCGCCGCCGGCGACGUCGCGAGAAGUCCACUGAACCUUAUCAUUUAGAGGAAGGAGAAGUCGUAACAAGGUUUCCGUAGGUGAACCUGCGGAAGGAUCAUUGCCGUCUCUGGAACCACCACCGGCGAACCAGUCCCGCGACGACGCCGCUCGCGGCGCGCGGCCCGGGGGACGACCCGGGGACGCGCGUCCCGACGAGCUCCGAACAACCCUCUGGGCGCGGCGAGCGCCAAGGAAUCGAAAGCGGAAGGGGCGGCCGCCCCGCCCGGUGCGGUGGGGAGCGGCCGCCCGUCUGUGAAUCUUCUAGACGACUCUCGGCAACGGAUAUCUCGGCUCUCGCAUCGAUGAAGAACGUAGCGAAAUGCGAUACUUGGUGUGAAUUGCAGAAUCCCGUGAACCAUCGAGUCUUUGAACGCAAGUUGCGCCCGAGGCCACUCGGCCGAGGGCACGCCUGCCUGGGCGUCACGCCACCCAUCGCCCCCACCCCCGCGGCAUUCCCAUGCCCGGGCCGGGGAGCGGAGAAUGGCCGUCCGUGCCCGAGCCCUCGGCGCGCGGUCGGCGGAAAAAGGAGGACACCGUGCGGCGCGACACGGCGUGUGGGGGUUGAGAGGCGAUUCGUCGCCGAUCGUACGUCGCGCCCGCAUUCCGCCGCGCGGAUCCACCCGCGGGACCAGACCCGCCCGCAGCCGCGGGCGCUCGGACCGCGACCCCAGGUCAGGCGUGGCCACCCGCUGAAUUUAAGCAUAUCAAUAAGCGGAGGAGAAGAAACUUACGAGGAUUCCCCUAGUAACGGCGAGCGAACCGG